rnacentral:tRNA from 1 species
GGGGUAGAGCAGUGGUAGCUCGUCGGGCUCAUAACCCGGAGGUCGUUGGUUCAAAUCCUUCCCCCG